rnacentral:snRNA from 1 species
UUUUGUAGGGCAAGGAUACAA